rnacentral:rRNA from 1 species
UAGUACGUGAAACCGUUCAGGGGUAAACCUGAGAAACCCGAAAGUUCGAAUGAAAAGAUUCAAUUUCUUACAUUUGGUCGACCAUUACUAUUUUAUGUGAUAAUUUUUAAUGACUUGUCAUUAAUAUUACACUAAUUUGUUUUGAGAUUUGGCUAUGUAGGUGAUGCACUUCUUUUCUAGUAGGACGUUGCAACCCAUUGGAUGUUAAUCUAAGGUCCCCUAUGGUAGCCUAUAAUAUAUAUAUUUCGGUAUAUGUGAUAUAGACCUUGGGUGUUUUGCCUGAUUAACUUGUUCGAUGGUAUAUCAUAAUAUUGGGUCGCCUAUAAUGGGCAUUCAAACUAUAUUCAAGUGUAUAUGGAUAAAAUUUUGGAUAUCAGACCUAGUGCUGUUACUAAAACCAUUAUACUGUUGGAAUUUAGUAUAUUGAAUAGAUCCUGUAUAUUGGUUAGCAACGCUUUUGCUUUGGGUACUUUCAGGACCCGUCUUGAAACCGGGAACCAAGGA